rnacentral:rRNA from 1 species
GAUGAACGCUAGCGGCAGGCUUAACACAUGCAAGUCGAGGGGCAGCACGGUAGCAAUACUGGUGGCGACCGGCAAACGGGUGCGGAACACGUACAGAACCUACCUUGAUCUGGGGCAUAGCCCGGAGAAAUCCGGAUUAACUCCCCAUAAUAUAGAUGAGUGGCAUCACUUGACUAUUAAAAUUUAUUGGAUCGAGAUGGCUGUGCGUCCCAUUAGCUAGUGGUAGGGUAACGGCCUACCAAGGCGACGAUGGGUAGCUGGUGUGAGAGCACGACCAGCCACACGGGCACUGAGAC